AACUUAUCUGGAGAGUGGGAGGGAGGGCGAAAGAAAAAAAGAGAGAGAGAGAAAGAGAGAGAAGCCCUGUUGUUUGUAAUGCACCAAAGUGUCUCUCAAAGGGCUUCACGGACUACAUUUCAGGGAUACUCUCCUGCCCUAGCACACCCAGGAGCAAGCUAAAACUCUUAUUAUCAAGGAAUAAACCAUCCAAGGAAGAAACACAGAGUGAGGGGUGCCAUACCAGACAGACAUGAUCGUGACCUUCAUAGUGAUACUCACAGGCCAGGGGCAGAGGAACAAAGUCCAUGCAUUUCCUACACAUGAUGGAGCCACACAGACGGCAGUGGUGCCGCCGGUUCCUGAUGUUGAACUUGUUCCCACAGUCGGGACAGAAGGGCACGUCCGAGUCGCUCACCCAUGGCACCACCGACUUCUCUAUGGCUGUGGAGGGGCGAUAGCUUUAGAAAUGGAAGAUGAGAUGGAUCUCAUAUAUUUAAAUAUGAUGGAAGUGAACAAACCUCUGAUUUUAGCUACAUCCGAGUUGGUCCUAUCGAAAGAUGUGAGCUGAAACAAUCGGGCCACAAGUAAGAUGACAUUAUUGCAUGGAUAGAAUGGAAAUUAUAAUUCAAAUGAAUAGUGGUUAGCGAUUUCACAACCACACCUUUUCUAGUCUGAUGAGGAGCUUGUUGACUUCGAUCACAUAGUGGUCUAUCCUGGCUGCUCUGUGUUUUUUGAAAUAGUCCUGAUGAUUUCUGGUUGCACCUGCAAGAAGAAGUUUAAUUAAUUAUCCAGCAAGACCAGCAGUCUGAUGUCAAUCAAUGCCUAUGUAUUGUAAAUCUGAUAUAUUUGAAUCCUUCGUUUCCACUUUCUAAAAUGCAUGUUUAGUUUGCAACACAUCUAUUAUGUAGUUCUGACUGAGUCAUUAUUAGUUAUGUAAAAAUUGGAUAAUUGGUACAUUAAUAUUUCAAAAUGGAUCAGAGAUUCAAGCCGUCUGGCAAAAUAACAUUAAAUCGACUCUCUUAACCAGUGCAUGUCUCCAGCCUUACCCAGCUCCUGGGGCUCCCACAUGUAUGGAUCGACUCCGCCGUAGUAGAAUGACUCAUAGCUUCCAGUGUCAGCUCGGUCAUCUCCAUCCCUCUUCAGCAGUUUGUCUUUGGCUUUCUUAGCCUUUUGAACCAAACCUGCACACGCACAGAUGGUGAUGAUGCUGCUUCAAUCCUACUCCAACCCUAAUGCAUCCAAUAUCACUCAAUGCACAACUAUGCAAUAAUUAUGCUGUUACCCACACAUUCAGCCAGUGCUGGAAUUAUCUGCUUUUCACUUAUCUGAUAAGCCUUAAAAUACUUUCCGCAUCCCUCCGUUUCAUCCGAUUAGAAUCUAGGCUACGUUCUACAGAAGUAUUCUGAGGUGAGUUGACCAUCUUACUAAAUUCAGGAUAAAUUCACUCUAACCUAGAUACGAUUAUCACAGAUAUUACAGGCACUUACUCUUGAGUUGGCCCCUAACAUGACGGUCGUCUCCAGAGUGCUCCUCCUCAUAGUGGUCCUGGAGUUGGUAGAAGGACUGCAGAUCCUUAUGGCACAGUGGGCAAAUGAAUCCCUCCUUCACUUCCCCUGUGCCUUCAAAGGGGGGUGGAUAACUAGAUGCCAUGGGAGGAAUCGGCUGUGGAUGAAGCCCUGAUAGACGCGAUGCACGGUGGGAAAGGCGUUUCCAUUCAUUCCACCCGCCACCGGGUGUUUACGCCAACACAGGACAGUUCCAUCCCAGCCAGGGAA